AGCUGCAACAACUACUGAAGCUACAACAACAACUACUCCAGCUAAAAAAACAACUACUCCAGCUAAAAAAACUACUCCUCCAGGACGCUGUUCUGCUUUGCCUAUAAUGUGCUGUAAAGCAGGGAUGAGGUGCCGAAGAGGCAGAUGCUACUGUGAUGCAAAUUGCGUUAACCGUUCUGACUGCUGUUCAGACUUCAAAACUACGUGCACCUGGAUAUGAUGGAUGUACCGUAAAAGACUGGAUAUACAUCACCUGAUCACCAGAACACAACAUUUCACUAUGAUUCAGUUUUGAUUCCGUAUAUUACAUGUAAUCAAGUCUGUCUAAUGGAAUCCUUCCUUCAUUUGUAUCAUUGAUUAAAUCCAAAAUAAAAAAAUUCUAAAUGUA